rnacentral:rRNA from 1 species
GACGAACGCUGGCGGCGUGCUUAACACAUGCAAGUCGAACGGUGAACCCGCUUCGGUGGGGGAUCAGUGGCGAACGGGUGAGUAACACGUGGGCAACCUGCCCCCGGCUCUGGGAUAACUCCAAGAAAUUGGGGCUAAUACCGGAUAUGACCGCUGGCCGCAUGGUCUGGUGGUGGAAAGAUUUAUCGGCUGGGGAUGGGCCCGCGGCCUAUCAGCUUGUUGGUGGGGUAGUGGCCUACCAAGGCGACGACGGGUAGCCGGCCUGAGAGGGUGACCGGCCACACUGGGACUGAGACACGGCCCAGACUCCUACGGGAGGCAGCAGUGGGGAAUAUUGCGCAAUGGGCGGAAGCCUGACGCAGCGACGCCGCGUGGGGGAUGACGGCCUUCGGGUUGUAAACCUCUUUCAGCAGGGACGAAGCCGUGAGGUGACGGUACCUGCAGAAGAAGCACCGGCCAACUACGUGCCAGCAGCCGCCGUAAGAC